UCCGGUUUGUCACCGGCAGUCUCAUUAGAGUGCCCUUUCGUAGCAACUAAUGACAAGGGUUGCGCUCGUUGCGGGACUUAACCCAACAUCUCACGACACGAGCUGACGACAGCCAUGCAGCACCUGUGUUACGGUUCUCUUUCGAGCACAUCUGCCUCUCAGCAAACUUCCGUACAUGUCAAGGGUAGGUAAGGUUUUUCGCGUUGCAUCGAAUUAAUCCACAUCAUCCACCGCUUGUGCGGGUCCCCGUCAAUUCCUUUGAGUUUUAAUCUUGCGACCGUACUCCCCAGGCGGUCUACUUCACGCGUUAGCUUCGGUACAGGAAAAUCGCUUCUCCAACACCUAGUGAUCAUCGUUUAGGGCGUGGACUAC
rnacentral:misc_RNA from 1 species